UUCUAUUCUGUUUCAGGUCUGAUGCAGGUAAAACCUACGAUUGCUUCAGAUUUGAUACGGGCUGGUGCUUUGCAUGCUACCGCGGCUGGUGCGGUACAGACAUGUUCGCCUUAGUCCUAAUUUGUGUUUUUCUCUUCUCCACAAUCAUAUAUAAAUGAAUCUUGUCUACCAAUUUCGUUUUGUUGCUUAUAACUAUUAACUAAUCAGUUCAAUUUCAUAUCGUUUUGCACAGAGUAUAUACAUAAUCACGUUAAAUUCUUAGACCAAUUAGAAAACAAUACUACCUCACCAUGGAAAAAGGAAAGAUUUUAUGAACUUUAUAACAAUAAAAUUUAGAAUCUCAAUAUCACAAGUUUAAUAAUAUUGCACCAAAUUUUUUAAUAAAAAAAAAAUUGUUUUUUCUGUGACUAAAAUGAAAGUCUCUGUCAUUUCAGGAUUUCUGUCAAAUCUCUUCAAGCUCCGAGGCUUCGUUCAAAUCGUAGCUUUGUCUUUACAAAAUUUCGUUUUGUUUUGCCGCUCUGAUGCUGGUUCUCUGAUGUUCAGACAGCAGGGAUAGAUUCCAUUCAUUCUAUUUAGACCUCCUGAUAAAUCAAACUGUGUAGAUGAUGCCACGGGGCCAACUAGUAAAAGGAACACAAGACACACAACCAGAAAUCAUGUGCCGUCAACUUGUAGCCGUCGACCGACGUCAAAUUUCUUUCGCGGACUAUCAUUGCCUUGCUGAUGCCGCCUUUUUAUUAUAUGCUCCUGUUGAAAUGAUUUAAGUAUUAGGUCGUGAGGCGUCAAUCCAAAUUUGAUAAGGUCAAAGGUUUAUUGAGAAGCAGCUAUAUUUAUCUCUACAACUCCAAUUUUCACUCCGCACGCAUCCUUCACUCCGGUCCUUCACUUUCCAAUUUUGAGGCGAUUUUGGAGUGAAUCCACUUAAGCACUCACAUGUGGAGGACUUACCCAUCAUGCCACAGAUCCCAAACGAACUACAACGGUUGUAGUUAUCACAUUCGUCUCUCGGAAUAUUUGAAUGAAGCAUCCAUCUUUGUUUCCCUUCUGUCCACUUUAAGACCUGAAGAGCAGAAACAGUUUGGUUGAUGACAAAUCUUGAAAGUAUUGACUGAUUCCUGGGUUGGAAUGUCACUUCUUAUCAAGCCAUAAGUAAUUUGACCUGAAGAAGGGUCGUCCCAAUUGUUCCAAGCUGUUAGGCGCCUAUUAAGACCGCUUGUUAGGUUCCACCCAACCUUCAUUCCUGGAAGAAAUGUAUCAGUAGGAUAGUCAAAGCUCUGCCACAAGUACACAUCAUAACCGUUAUUUUCUUUCUCAUCAUUUAGGACCAAGUUGCCGGUACCUAAGAGCCGUGCUAUGAAGCUUGAGGUUGAGGAUUUGGUUGUUAUAUUUGUUGACCAAUGAGUUGUGCCAUUUUUGCUGAAAAGGACAAGGUUUCCUUCUUUGUUUAUGCUCAAUAUGCCGGAUUUGUCACUAAUUGGAUGGUCACGAUUGGCUACCCAAACAACCGUUUUUAUUGGGAUAUUCUUGAACCAUAUUCCUACAUAGCGAUUUGUGGAACUACCUGGACUAAAGAAACCCAACUCAAAUGUUCCAUUAACCAAUGUGUUGGUGGUUCCAUCAUGAAGAGAAUGAAACUGAGUUAUGAUAUCUGUA